rnacentral:rRNA from 1 species
GAUGAACGCUGGCGGCGUGCCUAAUACAUGCAAGUCGAGCGAACGGACGAGAAGCUUGCUUCUCUGAUGUUAGCGGCGGACGGGUGAGUAACACGUGGAUAACCUACCUAUAAGACUGGGAUAACUUCGGGAAACCGUAGCUAAUACCGGAUAAUAUUUUGAACCGCAUGGUUCAAAAGUGAAAGACGGUCUUGCUGUCACUUAUAGAUGGAUCCGCGCUGCAUUAGCUAGUUGGUAAGGUAACGGCUUACCAAGGCAACGAUGCAUAGCCGACCUGAGAGGGUGAUCGGCCACACUGGAGCUUAGACACGGUCCAGACUCCUACGGGAGGCAGCAGUAGGGAAUCUUCCGCAAUGGGCGAAAGCCUGACGGAGCAACGCCGCGUGAGUGAUGAAGGUCUUCGGAUCGUAAAACUCUGUUAUUAGGGAAGAACAUAUGUGUAAGUAACUGUGCACAUCUUGACGGUACCUAAUCAGAAAGCCACGGCUAACUACGUG